rnacentral:rRNA from 1 species
GUGUUCAGGCCAGCAUCGGUUUUGGUGGUGGGAUAAAGGCCUUGGGAAUGUAGCUUCUUUCGGGGAGUGUUAUAGCCCUCGGUGCAAUGCCGCCUACUGGGACCGAGGACCGCGCUUCGGCUAGGAUGCUGGCGUAAUGGUUGUAAGCGA